rnacentral:snoRNA from 1 species
UCUGGGCCAUAUCGAAGCUAUGACACGUGUAUAUUACGUGUUAUAGUCAAAAUUUGGCCAAGAUUAAAUUCCUUCAUAUUGGUCACUGAUUAUCGUUAUAGAUUUUCCGUAUUACCCAAGAAGGAAACAACA